rnacentral:rRNA from 1 species
UACGUAGGGUGCGAGCGUUGUCCGGAAUUAUUGGGCGUAAAGAGCUCGUAGGCGGCUUGGUAAGUCGGGUGUGAAACCUCCAGGCUCAACCUGGAGACGCCACUCGAUACUGCCAUGGCUAGAGUCCGGUAGGGGCCCACGGAAUUCCUGGUGUAGCGGUGAAAUGCGCAGAUAUCAGGAGGAACACCAAUAGCGAAGGCAGCUCGCUGGGACGUUACUGACACUGAGGCGCGAAAGCGUGGGGAGCGAACAGG